CGCCAGGUGUUAUGGUCCCUUCUCGGUCCCUUCACAUCCUCUCUCCACCCAUACAGUAAGCAUAGCGCGCUCACUUGUUUAGUGUGUUUCUACAUCUAUUGACGUACAGACGUUGCAUUUUUAAGUCGUUUUUUGAUAUAUCAUAUAAAAUAAUAAUAUUUUGAUGCCUGUUGGAAGCGACCUGUGGUUAAUUUGAAAAGAAAAAAACCUAACGAACAAUUUUGCUUAUUCUGCGAUAAUUCAAGUGAUUUAGUGAAGAACCCAAGGCCAAGUACGUUUCUUCAUAUCAUAGAAGCAGCAAAUAGGAGAAAAGACAGCAUUAGUGAAGUUUUCAAAACUAUAUGAUCCAGACUCCACAAAACAAGAAUUUUCAUGGCAUCAAGACUGUUUAGCCACUUAUAUAAGUGAGGAGAAAAUAAGGCGUCGAGAAAUUGCGUUGCAUAAAAAAGAAGAAAAAGAAGUGUCUGCUUCAACUUCCAAAGCAAACGUGGAGGAGCUGACUCCAAAAUCUCGUUCGUCAUCAAGGGAACCGGCAGCGUUGAAAAAAUCGUUGAAAUGCAUAUUUUGUAAGAAGGUAACAAGAAACAAAGAUAAGCAGCUACAUUUAUGUUCGGAAAUUUCAGCAGCGGAAAAAAUUUUUAGUACUGCACGUAGGAAAGAAGAUCAUAUUUUCACUGAACUGAGUACUUGUCAACGGCCUGAAGAUUUAUUUGCUAUCGGAGUGAGAUACAUAUCACAAACAUUGUUACCUUGAUUAUUUAAGAUUACCGAGAAGUUUUGAAUUGCCAGCUGGUCGACCUUCAAAUCAAAUCCCUAAAGAAAUACUUAUCGAUGCAUUUGACAAACUAAUAGAUGUAAUUAAAGACCGGUUACCAACACAUUCUUUUUACACAAUAAACACAAUUACCAACCAUUGAUUAUUGUUCAUUUGGUUACGAAAAUCUCAACGGUGACUUACGUUCACGACAAAUGACGAAGCCGUCUUUACCAGAGUCAUUAAUUCCACCAUGUAAAUGUACUUCAAAUUGUCGCACAAUGUCUUGUAAUUGCAAAAAAUCGGAAUUGUUUUGUAUUUCAUUAUGUAAAUGCAUCAAUAACAAAUGUGAAUAUAAAAAUGAUUAAGUUUUUACCUACUUUAACUACAUUUAUGCUUUAAUUAGCUGGUUUUCAUAUAUAACUUUCAUUUUUUUAUCAAUAAAAAAAAAAUAUUACUGUAA